rnacentral:sRNA from 1 species
AGUGGUGUUAUCUUGGCUCACGGCAACCUCUGACUCCUGGAUUCAAGCGAUUCUCGUGCCUCUGCUUCUCGAGUAGCUGGGACUACAGCUCAAAAAAUGACAAGCUUGCCAUUAAUGCUUGCCAUUCUGGGAAUAAACUGGAAGUAAACAGAGUUUUCCUUUAUACUGAGGAAAACUAAGAAAUAAGGAACUACAAGAAAUCAGUUUUACCUCUUCAGAAUAAAAACUGCUGACUCAUCCUGAGUAAAAGGAGAUUUGGCUUUUAAUUCUAACUUACUGUGGUUUCAACUGUCUAAGCUUUAUACUUACCAGGAAGAUGACGAAUAUCCUUAAUAAAAUGUUUUCUUUUUGGCUGCAUCACAA